GUAGGUGGCAAGCGUUGUCCGGGAAUUAUUGGGGCGUAAAGCGCGCGCAGGCGGUUCUUUAAGUCUGAUGUGAAAGCCCACGGGCUCAACCGUGGAGGGUCAUUGGAAACUGGAGAACUUGAGUACAGAAGAGGAAAGCGGAAUUCCACGUGUAGCGGUGAAAUGCGUAGAGAUGUGGAGGAACACCAGUGGCGAAGGCGGCUUCCUGGUCUGUAACUGACGCUGAGGCGCGAAAGCGUGGGGAGCAAACAGGAUUAGAUACCCUGGUAGUCCACGCCGUAAACGAUGAGUGCUAAGUGUUAGGGGGUUUCCGCCCCUUAGUGCUGCAGCUAACGCAUUAAGCACUCCGCCUGGGGAGUACGGCCGCAAAGGCUG
rnacentral:rRNA from 1 species